GUCCGCAAAUGACAAAUCUCACCUGUACAGCACGGUGAAGAAGUAUGGCGCACCAUCGGUCUCCCCGGCAGUUGGUGGAGGAUUGUGUGAGCUGGACCGCUUGCUGAAUGAGCUCAAUGCUACUCAGUUCAAUAUCACCGAUGAGAUCAUGUCCCAGUUUCCUCCAAGUGAUAAAGACGUGACAGACAGA